UUGGAACAUCAGGCACCAAUCGAAUUUGUUUUGUUCAUCCCAUCCUUUCCUCUCCAAACUCCUCGUUUCUCAGACCCAAAAUCACUUCAGUUGUUUCUUUCCUCUCACCACUCGACUUCAUAACCAAACCAUUCCCUUUCGCUCUUUAACCAAAAUCCAAAACCAAGCCCAUAAUUUUCGUGUUCCGGGAAAGCAAUUGGGUUUUUAAUUGAAAGGAAGUUAAGGGUCGUGUGAGUGCAGAAGAGGAUUGCGUUGAUGAAGCUGAGGAGCAAAGUAGAGGGGAGAGUACUAUGCCGGAGCGGUUUAGGUACUUGACUGAAGAAGCUCCUGACCCUCCUGUGAGGUGACCUUGGUUUCUGGGUGAAUUGGUGCGGUAAACGGUAGCAACAAGCAAACGGGUGGAUGGAAGAGGCAUGGAAAAGAGAGAGAUGGACAACAGACAUGUAUAAAAGAGUUCGUGAUGCGACCUUAAGCAAAAGUGGAAGUUCAUGCAUUUCAGACAAGAGCAUCCAAGAGGCUUUCCAAUUUAGUUUAGGCUUACAGUAGUUCUUGUCAGGGUUUUGUUUCCUUUCCCAGUUCUGAGGGCUACGGUAUAAUAUUUGGGCAGUUUUGGUUGGAUGGGAGGUGGUACAGAUGUGCCUACUAGAAAAAUUCUCAGUUAGUUUUGAUUGGAUAGGGGAAUAUGUCUAGACUAGGCUUGUUGAACCUUCAAUUGUUUGCUAUAUUUUCAGAACGAAGUAAUUGUAUGUAUAUGCAUAUAUUCAAGUAUACUGUUGAUUUAUGUCUA